CAGGGAGGGGGUAGAAGAUGAGGUUAGGGAAACCAAGGGCUGGAUUAUGAAGACCUUUAAAAGGAUCACUCUGCUGUGUAGAGAACAGUCUGUAAAGAGGCAAGAAUAGAAGCCAGCAGACUAAUUAGGAGCCUCUUUUGAAGUCACUAGCAAGAAACCACGAUAGCUUGCACGACAGCAAAAGCAAUGGAGAUGAUAUGAAUGUUUCUGGGAAAGUCUGACAGAGCAUUGUUUGGUAUAUGUUGAGCUGACCAGAAGAUAAAUUAGAGCUGGAGGAUUUUAACAGCAUAUUUCACCUGUGACAGACUAAUGCGCUACAGGCUGACCUACCAAGGGAAGAGAAAUCUUUGUGGACAUUGAUCAAAGCCACCAUUACUGGGUAAAUAUGGAAUAUGGAAUAUGCCUGCUUUGGAUUCUUCCUCUAUGUCCCUUCCCUCCUAAAUUUCAUACAAACUUCAGCCCUUCUGUUAACAUGAUUACUUCUGAUUAAAAUUUA